AUUGAACGCUGGCGGCAGGCUUAACACAUGCAAGUCGAACGAGUGGCGGACGGGUGAGUAAUAUAUGGGAAACUGCCUGAUAGAGGGGGAUAACUACUGGAAAGGGUAGCUAAUACCGCAUACCAUCGGAUGUGCCGAGAUGGGAUUAGCUAGUGGGUGGGGUAAAGGCUCACCUAGGCGACGAUCCCUAGCUGGUCUGAGAGGAUGACCAGCCACACUGGAACUGAGACACGGUCCAGACUCCUACGGGAGGCAGCAGUGGGGAAUAUUGCACAAUGGGCGCAAGCCUGAUGCAGCCAUGCCGCGUGUAUGAAGAAGGCCUUCGGGUUGUAAAGUACUUUCAGCGGGGAGGCGUUACCCGCAGAAGAAGCACCGGCUAACUCCGUGCCAGCAGCCGCGGUAAUAC
rnacentral:rRNA from 1 species